rnacentral:rRNA from 1 species
UACGAAGGGGGCUAGCGUUGUUCGGAAUCACUGGGCGUAAAGGGCGCGUAGGCGGCCAUUCAAGUCGGGGGUGAAAGCCUGUGGCUCAACCACAGAAUUGCCUUCGAUACUGUUUGGCUUGAGACCGGAAGAGGUCAGUGGAACUGCGAGUGUAGAGGUGAAAUUCGUAGAUAUUCGCAAGAACACCAGUGGCGAAGGCGGCUGACUGGUCCGGUUCUGACGCUGAGGCGCGAAAGCGUGGGGAGCAAACAGGAUUAGAAACCCCUGUAGUCC